rnacentral:rRNA from 1 species
UUGGGCGUUCUACGCAUGCUACAAUAGGCCGGUACAAAGGGUUAGGCGAUACUGUGAGGUGGAGCUAAUCCCAAAACGACGGUCUCAGUUCGGAUUGAGGUCUGCAACUCGACCUCAUGAAGUUGGAGUCGCUAGUAAUCGCAGAUCAGCAACGCUGCGUGAAUACGUUCCCGGGCCUUGUACAC